AAAAUAAAAAAAUUAAAUGAGAAAAAAGGCGGCCAGUAUGUUGGUACUGGCGGCUGGUUAGUGUACAAAAGUUCGUCAAAUUGUAGGAAAGAGAUUUUCACAAAUAAGGCGCCUGGAUUGGUACAAUGACUAUAAGUAUUUUUUCGUAUUUGUUUUAGCGUAUUUCGUGUGUAUAACAGUUUGUAUAACACUAUAAAAACUAGGUAUAACAAUUGUAUUAUCUUAACAAUCAGUAGAACAAUAUUUAAAUUGUAUAUUUAUGUGUAUAACAGUUUGUAUAACAGUAUGAAAGUGUGUAUAACAGUUUCAAUAACAUGUUAUAAACACUUUUCCAAUCCAAAAUUGUCAUAACUUAACAUUUUGUGAUUGUAUAACACUUUGUAUAACAGUUUUCGUUUUUGAUAAAAAUCUUAAAAUUUUUUUCAUUUUAUUCUCUGACACUCAGUUUAUCCCACUUUAUGUUCCUCUUGAUCCCAUAGUAUUUUUUGGUUUCAGUUAUUUUAUGUAUAUAUGUAUGUAUGUAUUUUUGUAUAAAUUUCCAAACCAAAUGUGAGGCUUGAGUAUAGGAGAGAAGGUUAGGUUCGCGUUUUUUUUUUUUGUAUGAGAUUUCUCAAUGGAUGAUGUGUGGAAUAAAAGAUCAAUGAAAAAGAUGAAGUUCCCCACAAGAAAAACAUCGUUUUGGAUCGACUAAACACAAAGCUGCUGGCUGGCUGGCUGGACCCUGAUAUAAUUAUAUAUCCCCUACAUGCUACAAACAAUAAAAAUCACAACAGCAACAACAUUGAAUCGUCCUAAUCCCCAUCAGGAUGAAGGUUAUGUGGAGCUCCAGGCUGUAUAGAAAUUGUUUUUUCCACUUUCAGAAAAUCAAAAUCGAAACAGAAGAAACGGAUUGAACCCAAGAAAAAAAACACAACAAAUGAAAAAAGUACUGUAUAACAGUUUAUCUAAAAAAAGGGGAAUAUAAUUAUAUAGGCCAGCUACAGCUGCUUGCAUCAAAGAAUUAAGGAGAAAGAGCUAUCCUAGAGGCUUUGGCAAGGACAUGUGGUCCCCAGGCUAUUUUGUAAAUCACAACAAUGUCAUCAUCGCAAAAUCCCUUUAUAUCACGUUCUUCUUCCAUCUAUUUAGAGAUCUCUAAUGAAAAAGUACUGUAUAAACUAGUUUUUUUGCUUGUAUUUUCUAACCUUUAUGAAGAGUAUUUAGACAUGGAUCUAUGGUAAACGAUUGGAGUGUUGGCUCCAAUGGAAAAGGAUUUUUAAAUAUUUAAUUUAAAUCUAUAUAUAAUAUAUACUAAAUAUUUUAACACAUAACACAAAUCUUAUAAUACCACCCCUAACACAUGACUAAACCCCCCAAAAAAUUAACAUUUUAUUAACAGUUAUAUAUAUAACAAACUCUAUUAACAACAAACAAUUUAACUAUUUGGAGGAGAAAACAAAAAAAAUGUUUCAUAAAAUCAAUAUAAACAUGAUUACGUAAGGAAAAUUUAAAAGAUAUCCUUAUAUGUUUUAAAUAUGUACAACCCUUUUUCAAUGAUAGCUACAAAAUAAUGUAUAAUUUUGUAAAGUAAU